rnacentral:rRNA from 1 species
AUGGCCAUGGACGAUGUGCUGUUGGAGAACGACGCAGGACUAAGUUUCGUAGUUGUCACUCCCAUGUAUUUCUUCGACGAGGAGCAUGAUUUCUUGCUUCUUCUCAUCUUGUUGACUACUGGUUGUGUUUGUUCUCUCGCCAAAGGCCGAGACUUUGAGUUGCCUGCCAUGGUGGAGCUCGGGAUGUUGGCAGAUCUGACCGGACUGGUCAGCACUCUGCCCACACCUGCCGAGGUCGCCCUGCUCUAUGCCAUGCUCGGUAACUCACCCUCGCUGAUGGGAAUGUUAUGCACAAAAUGCUGA